CGGGCGGGAGCUGCCCGCUCCCCGCCUCCGCCUUCGAGGAGGGGGAGCGCGGUGCCGGGGCGAGCAGCGGGUGAUGGGGAAGAGGCGAGCGCGGCGCUGAGGUCCUGUGGGGCCGGAUGAGCCGAGGCUUGGCGCCGCGGCGGUGGCGGGGCUGGAGGAGUGGGCGAAGGAGGCUGUAGGGGCGGCCCCCGCUCCGGCUGCCCUGAGGGGAAGGAGCCCCCGACCAUGGAGAUCGAGAACAUCGUGGCCAACACGGUGCUGCUGAAAGCCCGGGAGGGCAAACGGAGUGGGCGUAGUAAAAAAUGGAAAGAGAUGCUGAAGUUGCCACCUGUUAGUCACUGUGAAGGUAUUAGAUCCUCAAUUGAAAGAGACUAUAGCCAGCUUUGUGACAAACAGCCUAUAGGAAGACUUCUCUUCAGACAGUUCUGUGAUUCCAGACCAGAUUUGAAAAGAUGCAUCGAAUUUCUGGAUGCAGUGGCAGAAUAUGAGGUAUCUUCAGAUGAAAAGCGUAUAGACUGUGGCCUCAAAGUUUUAGAGACGUACUUCACUAAUGGGUCUGCAGCACACUUGCCAGAAAUACCUCAGGAAACAGUAAAUGAAUGUAAAGCAAGACUGGAAAAGAACCCUUCUAAAGAUCUUUUUAUGGACUGUACUAGAAUUGUCCAUGAAUACCUAAGCAAAAGACCUUUUGAAGCUUACCAAGAAAGUGUGUAUUUUUCCCGUUUCUUACAGUGGAAAUGGCUGGAAAAGCAACCAGUAACCAAACACACAUUUAGGCAUUACCGAGUCCUAGGCAAAGGUGGAUUUGGAGAGGUGUGUGCCUGUCAAGUACGGGCAACAGGAAAAAUGUAUGCUUGUAAAAAGCUAGAAAAAAAGAGAAUAAAGAAGAGGAAAGGAGAAUCAAUGGCUCUAAAUGAAAAAAGAAUUCUAGAAAAAGUGAAUAGUAGGUUUGUAGUUAGUUUAUCCUAUACGUACGAAACGAAAGAUGCCCUGUGUUUAGUAUUAACCAUAAUGAAUGGAGGGGAUCUGAAGUUUCACAUAUAUAACAUGGGAAAUCCUGGCUUUGAUGAAGAAAGGGCUAUUUUCUAUGCUGCAGAACUGUGCUGUGGCCUGGAGGAUUUGCAGAGGGAGAGAAUUGUUUACAGAGACUUGAAGCCUGAGAAUAUACUUCUUGAUGACUGUGGGCAUAUCAGAAUUUCGGAUCUUGGAUUAGCUGUGCAGAUUCCAGAAGGAGAAACGGUCAGAGGUCGAGUUGGGACCGUGGGUUACAUGGCUCCAGAAGUGCUCAAAAAUGAAAAGUAUACAUUCAGUCCGGAUUGGUGGGGUCUUGGCUGCUUGAUUUAUGAAAUGAUUGAAGGACAGUCUCCAUUCAGGAAGCAUAAGGAAAGGGUCAAACGGGAUGAGAUUGACCGGAGAGUAAAGGAAGACCAGGAAACAUAUUCAGACAAGUUCUCAGAGGAGGCAAAAUCCAUCUGCAGGAUGUUACUUGCUAAAAAUCCAGGGGAGCGACUGGGUUGCACUGAAGAUGGAGCUGCUGUUGUAAAGCAGCAUCCUAUUUUCAGGAACAUUAACUUCAAGAGGCUGGAAGCAAACAUGUUAGAACCUCCAUUCUUGCCAGAUGUAAGUAGCCACGUGCUGUAUAUUGUAAAGAUGUCCUGGACAUAGAGCAGUUCUCAACAGUAAAAGGAGUGAACCUGGAUACUACAGAUGAUGACUUCUAUUCCAAGUUUGUUACGGGUUGUGUCUCCAUCCCUUGGCAAAAUGAGAUGAUCGAAACGGGAUGCUUUGAAGAUAUCAAUGCAUAUGAAACUGAUGGUACUGUGUCACCAGACAGAGAGAGGUCUCCUAAACCAAAGAGAGGCUUCUUUCACAGACUCUUUAGUGGAGAGGUCUGUUUUAAAUCUGAUUGCAGCGAUGAUGAGCAGGAGUCCUCCAGACUUUAAAUCAUUUUACUCUCAUCAGAAAGGAUGAGCAAACGUUAAAUGUUUUAUAUCUCUGUAGCAAAUUGUAUUAUAUAUAUUUUUUAUCUGAGUUCAAGGAUUUUUGUACAUUUGUACUUCAUUUGUUUUAAGAUGUAUAUUUUCACUAAAGCUUAAUUGUACAAAAAGCAAUGAGUGCCAUUUGAGUGAGUGUGUUUCUGUAUGAAUUUGAUUUAUCUUGAUUAUUUUUUUCUCAGUGGAAUGAAUCUAGGAAUACUAAAAGGAUUUUAAAGCACAGAGAUAAUAUCUAUGGCAUCAGUGUAACUUGACUUUGUAUGGUCCUGGUAAAACUCUUCUUGUUAAUUAGGAUCUCUAUUAGCAGUUUUCUUAACUUUAAAAUUGCUGUACUGAUGAAUUUAAUAAUUCUGGUACUAUCCAGCAGCAUGGCAGUGCUAUUACCUAAUGUAUCUCUCAAGCAACUGCUAAGAAAAAAAAAAAGGAAUUCAGUGCACUGUGGCCAGCUAUUAGGAAUUGCUCUUUACUAUCUGGCUCUCUAGAAUACCUUUCUGUAUUUCUGUAUAAAGAGAAUUCUGAACAUUUAGCUUAAUCCUGUAACAAACUGUAGUGCCCCAUUCUUCUUUUUUCUAUCCAUCUUACACAUCCUCUUAAUACAAUUUCUUGGCAUGAACCAUGCAAAUAGACCUAUGCCAAAAUUUUGUAACUAUGUUUUGAAAAGUUUGUUGUCUUUACUGAAAGGAUUUCUUUAUAUCUGUGGGGACACCUUUUUAUUUUUUUCUGUAAAUGAAAUUGUUUUUAACUCUAUUUAGGAUGUUAUAAUUUUAUAAUGGGUUAAAAAACAAAGCAUGGGCUCUUUUUACUAACCUCCUCUCUGCUUAUUAUGUUGUAAUAUGCAAUGUUGUGGAGUUGACAGCGAUCACUGCCACUGAGGAAAAGGCAAGGUAAUUUGAAGUAGCAAAUUUAAUUAUGUAAAUAUUUUUUUCUUAUAACCUUUUAAAACAGAAACAUUAAAACCUGCCUUUAAUGAUUGCUGAACACAAAUGUGGAGCUGGCAUUGAAGUUUGUUAUGAUUACUUGAUGUUCAUUAGUAAAACUGAUAAAAGCUGCCUGAAAGCUAGUCAAACUUCCAUUCUUCUGGACUCACAUAUGCCAGACUUUUUAUUUGGUAAAGUUUCCAGUAAAACUAUUAAUCUCUGUGUGAGAGUCAAUUUAAAGAGCAGAUUUCAUUAAGAGCCUUUUCUGUUUUCAAAAUUUGAGUUAGGGACUUAAAAUAUAAUGGAAUGCUCUUGGAGUUGGAGACAUGACUUUAGUUACAUAUUUUUUUCUGUAUUCUGAAGAUUUGUCUCCACUGAACAUGCUUUUUUUUUUUUCCUUUCAAAUCUCUGGGGCACCAACCAGACCACACAUUUAUUGUGCACACAGAGCAACUGAGUAGCCCCCCACCUCAAAUAGGUCUCUGCUUGUGAUCCACAGACCCAGUGGAAGAAAUUUAAGCUGCUUCUGAGAAACUCACGACAUACAUUUGGUUGUCAAGCCCAUCAUCAGGUUUUAAUUCACAGUAUUUGGUCUCUAAAGACAAAUGUUUUGAUGGAUUAGAAUUCAAAAAAAGUUGAAAAACCAGUGUGUUACAGAAUCCUACUGGGGCUCAGCUGGUGUCUAUCUGAAAUUGCCACAGAAACAAGGAAUGAGAGACUCUUUUCCUGUGUUGUUAGUGCAUUUUUCCUGCAGUCUACAGCAGCACACAGGACACCAAAAUGACUGUUGUGGAAAGUACAAAGAGAAAUUGGCAGAGGGAGCGAGAGUUUGAAUGAAUUACUGGAAGAUGGUCUGAUGUAAUAGUGAAGGGCUGGGAGGCUUGACAGAAAGAGAAAUGUCUGAAGUGAGGGUGUUGGCUGGAACCAUUAUGCGUGAGACAAUGAGCUGGCAUGGUCUGACCUGACCCUCUUAAUUUUGUACCACAGUAAUAGAAGGACUCUAAAAAGAUGGGAAUGCAAAAAUGGGGAAGUAGUAUAAGUGUUUUAUAAAUACCUACCUGGUUGCAGAAGUCAUCCUUUCCCUGAUUAAGGGGAUUAGUUUUUUAAGGUUUGCUGUUCUGAGGCAAAGGGGGCUGUAUUAAGACUGGGCAUAUGGGGUGACAGUCUGGAUUUAAUAUCUGCAUAGAGCAACUUGAAAUUUGGGCAAGAAUACCAUGGACACAAGCUGAGUAAAUUUUAUGAAGAAAAUACAGGAAUAGGCUUUAAUAGAUUAAAAAAAAAUCUGCAAGUUUAUUUAUCAUGUAUUUAAAAUUUUCUUUCCUCAUUGGAUGGAGAGGAAUCUUAACUUAAAAAAAAUAAAAUCAACUUCUCUAUUUUGGAGUGGUGAGACAACACAUUCUCCAGGGUUCUGCAAAAAAAAAAGACUAGAUGAAGAGAGAAGGGAAAUUGUUCCUAAAAAGUGGUUAUUUACAUGUCUGCUUCUUUGGACAAGGAACUCUUUGUAAAAAAGUGGAGGAUUUGUUUGUUUUUAUGAAGUUUUAUUUUGUUUCAUUUCACAAGUUUUUUCAUAAAUUCUCAAUAAUACUUUUGAACUGGUUUUGGGUGGAGUAUGUUUGCAGGAUUCAGACCUAAAUUCCAUUCCUUUUGAGGUCUGGGUUUUCUUGGUUGGUUGGUUUUUCCCCAGCAGGCUCAAAAUGGCAUUUUUCUACUAUAAAUUUGUCCCUUUUAGUUAGAAAUACAACCACAUAAUAAUGACUAGAUAUUUUCUAAUGUGAAUCCCCUAAAGAAUUAGAAAAGACAGGAAACUGGAAGCAUCAACAUAACUCUCCUUAUACGGUACGUGGAGAUGAAGAUGUUUUGGUGUUUAGGGUGACUAACGUGGGUUAAAUAUCUUUAUUGGAGUAUUGGGAGCUUGGAGAUGCCUUUUGAAAGUGGGGAAGGGGUAAGGAGAAGGGAGAACACCUGAAAGCAAAAUAUUGUGGUGUGAUAAAUUUAACAUGAACUUAUAUCUUGAUUUUUUUAGGACACAACUGAGACAAAGAAGGGCAAAGGCAGGAGGUUGUGUUGACUGAUUAUGUAGCCUUUUAUUCCCAAUAAACUGUUGUGGCAGGGGGGAAGCCAAGAAAAUUCUUUUUAUUCGGUAUGACUUCAUUGAGAUUCUUGAUCUAUGUGUUAGAAGGCUUUAAUAGCAGUGAGACAAUCCAAUAGCCCAGCUGGUGCAAGCUUUGGAAAGAUCUGUGGAAUUCCAUGGAGUUAUUUGCAUGAGAUCAACCCUCCUUUUCUGUGGCUUGUUUUCCAAGCAUUUGUGUACAUAAGUCCCAAUGUCUGCUUGUGUGUACCUCAUGAAUCUCUAUUUAGCUCAAAAUUCAGAAACUGUGAAACAAUGUACCAGUAUCUUAUUGGUUUACUUAAUGCUUUUGAAUGUUGUGACCAACAGAAUAGAAUCUUCAUGCCUCAGGGUUGUUUUUUUUCCUAUUAAAAAAGUUGUCAGCUUCCUCCCCUUGGCCCCCCUGAGGUGUAGUGUUCAUUAUAGAGAUGGUGUUAUGUUUCUGGAUUAUAACAACAACAAAACAGUCUCAGCUGAAAAAAUGAGAAUUUAAAAAUAAUAUUAAAUAGGAAAAAACCUGUGGUAUUUCUGUGACAACAAGAGCAUUAUUGACAAAUCUUAGCCUUUAAUAGAUGUUGUCUUUUUUUUUCCCCAAUCAAUCUUAAAACAGUAGUUUUGAAGGGUUAUGAAAGAGAAUUGUCUCCAUCUCAGAAUGAAAUAGUUUAAUUUAUAAAUCAAUGAUAGAAGCUAUCAAAUACAGUAACAAUCCAUUUUUAGAAUGUACUCCAAUUAUUUUUCAAACAACACUGAACAAGAAAUACAAGAAAUUUUUCAUUGCCAUUUGUUCAGAGAAUACUUAUUUACAAGUUACUAAAAUAAGUCAACAGAAGGAAUAUUUUUCUAUGGUUUACAAUUUAGUGUUACAUUAAUUUAACAUUGGAAUUACCACCUUCAUUUUAGUAUAGAUUUUCAGAAAAUACUUCUCUUUACGAAGUCCUCAAAAAUUUGAAUGAUUGGAAAGCAUCUUUAAACGGAAUUCAUGUUUACUUUGAUUUUAAUUACCUGCCUGGCUUAUUUUGGUGCUUAUCAUGUCUCUUCUGCUGAAUGUACAAUUCUUUUUUAUUUCAUAAUUGUUCUUGUGGUGUAACUUGAGUUUUGCACAUGAGAUGUAGGUAACUUUUUUGUCAUGUUCCAGAUGUGUCCAAAACACCAGAAUUCUUUCAAGGCAUAGGAAGCUGACCGUUAAAUGUGAUGUGUUAGUUCCAGCAUCUCCAAACCACUGACUGUUCUUGUGUGAGCUGUUUUCCUGGAUGUUCUAGCAUUGUAAUUCCUGAAAUAAAAGCAAAACACUGCCGCAUAUCUCAACCACA